UCGCAGAAACAGAACAAGUUCAGCUUCCUACAGAAGUUGUGGUGGACGGGAAAUCUGCCUCUUCAAAAGAAGAGGUAGAAAGCACGAGGGAGGACGGGGAGCUUCCAUCUUUAGUUCCUGUCACUUCUAUAAAUGAUACUAAUGUCACUCCAAAUAAAAAAAUCAAUUUUGAUCCCUCCACAAAGCUGGCUUUCAUUUCAAAGAGUGCCAGCUCUCCAAUUAUAAAGGGGAAGUCACCAAGUUACAUGCAUGGGCCCCUCUUUGUCCAUCUCCUAGUCAGGUUUCAGCAUUGGCUGUCGCAGAAACAGAACAAGUUCAGCUUCCUACAGAAGUUGUGGUGGACGGGAAAUCUGCCUCUUCAAAAGAAGAGGUAGAAAGCACGAGGGAGGACGGGGAGCUUCCAUCUUUAGUUCCUGUCACUUCUAUAAAUGAUACUAAUGUCACUCCAAAUAAAAAAAUCAAUUUUGAUCCCUCCACAAAGCUGGCUUUCAUUUCAAAGAGUGCCAGCUCUCCAAUUAUAAAGGGGAAGUCACCAAGUUUUAAGAAAUACGGAGAUGAUGCAGAUCUUAUUCUGGAAUCCGGGGAACUUCCAUCUUUAGUUCCUGUCACUUCUAUAAAUGAUUCUAAUGUCACUCCAAAUAAAAGAAUCAAUUUUGAUCCGUCCGCUAAGCUGGCUUUCAUUUCAAAGAGUGCCAGCUCUCCAAUUAUGAAGGGGAAGUCACCAAGUUUUAAGAAAU
rnacentral:lncRNA from 1 species